AACGAACGCUGGCGGCGUGCCUAACACAUGCAAGUCGAACGGGAAAGCCCGCAAGGGUGAGUACAGUGGCGCACGGGUGCGUAACACGUGGGUAAUCUGCCCAGAAGCCCGGAAUAACUCCCCGAAAGGGGUGCUAAUGCCGGAUGAGACCACGGGGACUUCGGUUCCUGGGGGAAAAGGUGGCCUCUGUAUACAAGCUAUCACUUCUGGAUGAGCCCGCGGCCCAUCAGCUAGUUGGCGGGGUAAUGGCCCACCAAGGCUACGACGGGUAGCUGGCCUGAGAGGACGAUCAGCCACACUGGAACUGAGACACGGUCCAGACUCCUACGGGAGGCAGCAGUGGGGAAUCUUGCGCAAUGGGCGAAAGCCUGACGCAGCAACGCCGCGUGUGUGAUGAAGGUCUUCGGAUCGUAAAGCACUGUCGGGAGGGACGAAUAAGGGCCGGGUGAACAAUCCGGUUCGACGACGGUACCUCCAGAGGAAGCACCGGCUAACUCUGUGCCAGCCGCCGCGGUAA
rnacentral:rRNA from 1 species